rnacentral:rRNA from 1 species
UACGGAGGGUGCAAGCGUUAUCCGGAUUCACUGGGUUUAAAGGGUGCGUAGGUGGGUUGGUAAGUCAGUGGUGAAAUCCCCGAGCUUAACUUGGGAACUGCCAUUGAUACUAUCAGUCUUGAAUACCGUGGAGGUCAGCGGAAUAUGUCAUGUAGCGGUGAAAUGCUUAGAUAUGGCAUAGAACACCAAUUGCGAAGGCAGCUGGCUACUCGGAUAUUGACACUGAGGCACGAAAGCGUGGGGAGCAAACAGG